AAGUCGUAACAAGGUUUCCGUAGGUGAACCUGCGGAAGGAUCAUUAACAGAAAAGAGGGGCGAGUGCAUCAUUGCUCUCUCUCUCUCAUUCAUCCCUGUGAUAUGUGUAUUUACUAUGUGUGUGUGUGUGUGUAUGUGUGUGUGCUUAAAUGUGGGUGCACACGCUGCAUACAUGCUUCUUUUUUUACUCUGUUUUCAUUCUUAUGUGUGUGUAUCUUGUGUACCUUCGUGGUACAAAUCAAAAUCGAAAACUGCCAGCAAUGGAUCACUCGGUUCUC
rnacentral:misc_RNA from 1 species